rnacentral:tRNA from 1 species
GGAUCGCCAAGCGGGUUAAGGCGACGGUCUUGAAAACCGUCGUACGGGGAACCGUACCGUGGGUUCGAAUCCCACCCUGUCCGCCA